AGGUCAAGACAUGGGCGUGAUUGACAGGCUAAUGACUUUUCUCGAUUCCAUGGAUGGUGGUGCAUGGUCGCACUUAGUUGGUGCAGUGAUUUGUCAGGUUUAUUCCGGUAACGAACGAGACCUCGGCCUUGUAAAUAGCUAUGCUGCUUACAGGGACAUUGGCGGCUACGCCAAGGAAGCUCGAGGCAAUUGCAGAUCUGGAAUGCCCUUAGAUGUCCUGGGUCGCACGCGUGCUACAAUGACGCCACGAACGAGCUUGCGUGAUGAAAGUUACGCAUAAUCAGCAGUCGGCGUCUUAAGGGAUAGUCUCUUGUAACUGUGGGACUCCAACUAGGAAUGUCUCGUAAGCACAAGUCAACAUCUUGUGUUGAUUACGUCCCUGCUCUUUGUACACACCGCCCGUCGCUCCUACCGAUCGAGUGUUUUGUGAAUUUGAUGGACGUAAGGAAGUCAAAUAAACCUGAGCACUAGAGAAGAGAGCGACAGGGGAUAGAAAAAGC
rnacentral:rRNA from 1 species